UACAGAGGGUGCAAGCGUUGUCCGGAAUCACUGGGCGUAAAGGGCGCGUAGGCGGCCUGAUAAGUCGGGGGUGAAAUGCUGCGGCUUAACCGCAGCACGGCCUUUGAGACUGUCGGGCUUGAGCACGGUAGAGGCAGAUGGAAUUCCCGGUGUAGCGGUGGAAUGCGUAGAGAUCGGGAAGAACACCGGUGGCGAAGGCGGCUCACUGGCCCGUUACUGACGCUCAGGCGCGACAGCGUGGGGAUCAAACAGG
rnacentral:rRNA from 1 species